rfam:Ictidomys tridecemlineatus contig007412, whole genome shotgun sequence.
GAGUGUGUGGCUCAGUGGUAGAGCACUCGCCUAGCAUGUGUGGGGCCCUGGGAUCCAUUCCCAGUACUUCA